GUCUCUUCGGAGACAUCCGAUAAAAUUGGAACAGAUACAGAGAAGAUUAGCAAGGCCCUGCGCUGAUGAUACCAACAAAUUGAGAAAUGGUCCAAAUUUUU
rnacentral:snRNA from 1 species